GGCCGUGUGGCAAAAUGGUUACUGCGUUGCUUUCCGAUUGUUCUUAAAUCUCGAGGCAGAGACUGUGGGUUCGAGUCCCACCAUGGUCG